GUGUUGUAUUAGAGUGGAGAAGGUUAAAACAUACCCCUUAACAAGGAUGGAAGAGACUGCUGGGCCUUAGCUCAGACCUAGAGGCAUUUCUACUUUUCGUGGCAUCUAACCACUGUUUUUU